AGAUUGAACGCUAGCGGGAUGCUUUACACAUGCAAGUCGAACGGCAGCGCGGACUUCGGUCUGGCGGCGAGUGGCGAACGGGUGAGUAAUAUAUCGGAACGUGCCCAGUAGCGGGGGAUAACUACGCGAAAGCGUGGCUAAUACCGCAUACGCCCUACGGGGGAAAGGGGGGGAUCGCAAGACCUCUCACUAUUGGAGCGGCCGAUAUCAGAUUAGCUAGUUGGUGAGGUAAAGGCUCACCAAGGCGACGAUCUGUAGCUGGUUUGAGAGGACGACCAGCCACACUGGGACUGAGACACGGCCCAGACUCUACGGGAGGCAGCAGUGGGGAAUUUGGACAAGUGGGGGAAACCUGAUCCAGCCAUCCCGCGUGUGCGAGUGAAGGCC
rnacentral:rRNA from 1 species